rnacentral:lncRNA from 1 species
UUAUUUCUAUUCUUACAAUAAAAAUCUAGAAAUAUUGUUCAUCAAACAAAUGGCCUACACAACAAAAAGUUCUUUUGUCGUGGUGGUUUUGGUGUUGUUUAUUUGCAUGACAUGUGUUCCUCUUUUAGGUAUGACAUCAUUCCUCUAUUUCUUGGUAUUUUAGAAAAAAUUACCAUAAAUCAUCAUAUAGUUGCAACAUCUAUUUUGAAUUUACAUGUAUACAGCUCUUGGACCGGCAUGUCUUGGACAGUGUGAUGCAAUCAACAUGGACUGCUUACAACUUUGCCAAGAAUUAGCUUUUGUUACGGGUUCAUGCAAAGGAGGGCCUCCUUCUGAGUGUCGUUGUCAUGAUUAAAUCAAUAUUGUUUUAAUAACCACUUGUAAGGAAUAUAUAUUUCAUAAUCCAUCAAAUAAUUGGUUAAUAGUUAUAAACUAUUUCCUUGGAAUACCGAUGUUACGUUGGACUACAUGAUAAUCUCAUGAUGCUAUUAAAAAACAUUUUGGUUUAUUAAUGUUCCGACUUAAUUUUUUUCGUAACCCAAAUUUAUUUUCAAAACUAGUAUUACUAAUUUAUUCAUUAUUUUUGUUGAAUGUGUAAUUAAUAAACAAAUAUACGUAACACCCAAACAUUUCAUAAGAUACUAGAUAGCAGAAAUCAGUUUUAAUAACUCUCAAGAUCACUUUCUAACCUUCAAUAUUAUUUUUUAUACAUUGGAAAAAAUAAAGAUAUAAUAAAAUCCUUGAAUGGAGUAUUCCAAGAUGUUACAUCUCCGUGGAACUCCUUUGUCAACUUCAUAAUUUGAUAUUUCUCUAGUAUUUAUUUAUUUUUUUUGUUUUUCCAUUUUUUAAUUUUUGGUUGGGUAAACCUUGGGUUUAGUGAGUUCGCAGUUUCAUGCAAGUAGACGUCUACCAUACUAAAUACGAUGGUUUUAUCAUACUUUUUUAAAUUUAUGUAUUGGUAAGCCACCGUUGCCUAAGGGAUCUUCGGCUACAAUCGCCGGAAGUGAAUAUUUUUAGUUAUAGGGUGGAGCUCGGUUGAUAUAUAUUCCGAAUCUGCCACCGUUAAUUGCAAGAAAUAGCCAAGUUAUUCCUAUCGUUUUUUAUUAUAACCAUAUCUUGUCAACCUUGAGAACAUUUUUAUGUUUCAUAAGGAGUUAAUAUGUUCGGGACAUUGUUAACAAAUUGGUUUCUCAUUGCAAUUGUGGGUAAGCUUCUUUGCUCUCAUUUACCAUGAUUUAUGUUUCAUUAACCUUUCUAUGGCCACAUCAUUUGUAUUUUUCGAAUGGUGUUUAUGGUUAUGAGAUAAAAGAAGAAAUGUUGAUUUUCAAAAUUGGCCUUGCCUAUUAAGACAUUUACCAAGUGUCGGCGUAUUAUCUGCAUGGCUAGUUAGCUAUAUCUAUAUCUAUAUCUUUCUAUAUCAUUAUAUACUUAUAACGGAAGUAUUUUACCUUUCACCACAUUCAUUUGAAACUCCUAUGUAUUUUUCCUUUCACCACAUUCAUUUGAAACUGUGACAACCCAAAAGAAAUAAACAUACAUGUUGUUAGAAAUAAAUACAAUCUAUGUUAUAAAACCAUAAGAAAAUUUAUGAUUAUAAAACUACAUGGUUUUUUUGAAACUUUUACUAAAAGAUAACUUUUCUAGCUAAGGUGGUUACAUUAUAGUCACUUACUAAUUUAGUGGGUUUUAACCCGAAAAUAUUAUGAUCUGGUUUCAUAUUUUUGUACUACGCAAAAAUGCACUAUCAUAUUUAUAAAAAGAUUAUAUAAAUAGUUUCCAACAAACAAGAUAUGCAAUAAUUGGUAUAGUCUUGGAAGUUACAAACCACACAUACAUUUUAGAAGAUACAUAAAAUUGUUCAAAGAAUUACUUAUUUCGUUUUAUAAUAAAAAGGAGUCAUAGUUCACGUAAAUCAGUUAAUGGUCUUAUGAGACGUUCCUUCAUCAUACCUACCUAGCGUACACCUUAAGUCCUGCAUAAUAAUCACGGAGAGCAAGACCGUUGUGUAUAAAUCUAUAUAUACAGGAUUGACCACCCUAUAACUCAGUUGUUCGCUACAGUUACACCGCAAGUCUAGGGUGACAAAUGUCUACCAAUUCUGAGGCCUGAAGAACGUCGUUCAGGCAUAUCAGUCAUAUCAAGCAUGGUUAAAAGAACUCACAAAGGGAUUAACAUACUAUUACGAUUUACGGGAAGCUUACACUUCUUUAGUUUUUCUAAAAAUAUAUAACGACAUACUAUUGGUCAGUACAUCAAAUCUCAUACAUUUUUGGUCAUAGGGUUUAAGACUAUAAUUUUCAUACAUCAGAAAAUAUUGGAUUUUCUGGGAACAUGCAUUUUACAAUUAAAAGGAACGUAUACAAAGGAAAUACAUACAUAUACAGUUCAUACAUAAGAAAAUAUUGGAUUUUAAGGAAACAUACAUUAUCAUUUUACAAGGAAGGGAUACAAAGAAAAUACAUACAUUUUUGGUCUUUUGUAUAAGACUUACAACUUGUUUUUAAAAGAAAAUAUGUGAUUUUUUAGAAGUAUACAAAAAUCAGUUUCUCAAAAAUGUUACAAAUCCUUUUCAUACAAAAUUUUUAAGAAUUCACCAACGUAAUCAGUUACACUUUUUAAAGUCACUUGUAUUCUCAGGGAACCAAUAGACAUGUAUUCAACCGUAUUUUGGGUUCGACAUCGUUGUUUCAUGAGUAUUACUUUUCAGUUAUUUCUAUUUAAUGUCUGAACAAGAAAAGUGUUGUAAACGAUGUAGACUAGUAAUUUAAAUGUAUGAAUAUUUGGGUUGCUAUGUUUCGUUACCAUUCAAUGGUUAUGAUAUUGUACAUGACGUCAUCCGUCCCCGGACGUUUACGCCAUUCCGGUUCUGGGGUGUGACAGAUUGUUAUCAGAGCAUUGGUUGUCGAUAACUAUUAUAUCAAACCAUACAAGAUGUAAAACUAUAAAUAAAAUGGGGAUAAAACACUCUGACUAUAAAUAUACUUUUAAAAAUAUAAUAAUAUUUUAAGUAUUAGUACAUACAAGAUAGGGCAGUGUCAUAUCGAGGGGAUAAUAAAACUAGUAUGAUGAGUUAAAAACUAUGGGUAGGCCUCGGGAUAUGUCAUUAGACCUUGAAUAAAUAUAGUCUAAUCAACUAUAUUUAUCUGAGGUGUAACUAGAAUAUGUUGGGAAAUAGUAGUAGUAAAAGACAAGUCUACCCUUACCAACAUCAUGAUACCUAGAAUCAAACGCAACAUUUAAUAUACAAUAGGAUACAAUAGAACCACACACUUACACCCCUACAUAUUUCUCAUACCUCUAUUCUCGCAUAGACCACAUGUAUAAUUGAAACUUAGGCCUUGAGUUUUCCUUUAAUUUUUUCUCAUAUUGCUACUUAGCUUAAUUUUAUCCCUUCUCUACUACUAACAGAAGCAACACUACUCGAAGUUAUUUCCUUCUUAUUCGUGGUUGUUUCUUUUGCCAUUUUCAUUUGGUGUUUACGCCUUCAUAUCAUAAUAUUUUUAUAUCAAUAAUAUAUGAAAUAUGUUUGAUUAAAGAUCGUCAUCAUAAUUUCAUGUACAUUGGCUUCAACAUCUUCGUUAGCCUCAUGAUUACUGAAUAUGAAGGUUAUUAAUAUCACAAAUUAAUAAAUACGCAUGGCUUUUUCUUGUAAAUAACCCUAAAAGUUAAAUCAAAUCAAUCUACUUUUUAGUAAUUGGAUCAAAAUUCCUACUUUUAUUCUUAAAUUACUAGCCAAGUAGAUAACACACUAAAACUUAGUAAAUCAGUUAAUAGGAGAGGCCUAUUUUGAAAAUCAAUAUGUCUACUUUUAUCUAAAACUCCAAUGAUGUGGUUAUAGUAAUGUCAAAGUAUGAAGUUGACAAAGGAGUUCCAGAGUGAGGUAACAUCGAGUACCCUCAUUAAAUAAUUUUAUUAUAUCUUUAUUGUUUCCCUUAUAUAAAAAAUAACAUUGAACGUUAGAAAAUGACCUUGAGAUAUAUUAAAACUGACUUCGACUAUGUAUUAUUUUAUCAAAUUUUUGGGUGUUAUGUAUAUUUGUUUAAUAAUAACACACAUUCAAAAAUGAAACGAAUAAUUGGCUAUUUAGUGUUACUAGUUUUGAAAAUAUAAUUGGGCAACGAAAAAAACAAGUUGGACAUUACUAAACUAAAAUUUUUCGUUAAUAGCUUUAUAGGAUUAUCAUUUAGUUUAACGUAACAUCAGUAUUCCACGAAAAUAGUUUAAUACUAUUAAUUCAUUGUUUGGUGGUUUACGGAAUAUAUAUUCCUUACAAGUGGAUAUUAACAAAGUAUUAAUUUAAUUACGGCAACAACACUCAUAUGAAGGCCCUGCUAUGCAUAAACCCGUAACAAAAACUAGUUCUUGGAAAAGUUGUUAGCAGUCCAUGUUGAUUACAUCACAUGAUCCAAGUCAUGCUGGUCUAAGAGUUGUAUAGAUGUAAAUUCAAAANAUAGAUGUUGAAUUAUAUCAUGAUUUCUGGAAAAAAUUUCUCAAAUACCCAGACAUACAUGAACGAUGUCAUACCUAAAAUUGUAACAUAUAUCAUAUAAAUAAACAACAACACCAAAACCAUCACGACAAGAGAGUUUUUUCUUGUGUAGGACAUUUGUUUGAUGAAAAUUUUCUUGAUUUUAAUUUUAAGAAUAGAAUUAAAAAUGAUCGUACUUUAUUUUGGAUUACCACUCCUUAAACAGUCAUUCAAGUGAAGCAUAACACUUGUUAGCGCCAUUCAAGUUGAUCAUCCAGUUUGUUAGCACCGUUAAUUACUAACUUUAAAUUUUAUUAUUAAUGUAUGUUCAAAUGGACAUCAUUAAUUUCAAACAUAACAUAACGUCUAUAAUUUACAUGUUAAUUGAAUUUCAAUAUGAAUAUACGUUAAUAACAAAAUUUAAAGAUAUUAAUUAGUGGUGCUAAUAAACUGUUUUGCUCAACUUGAGUGAUGUUAACAAGUGUUAUGCUUCAUUUGAAUGACUAUUUAAGGAUUGGUAAUCCAACAUUAGAUAUGAUCCUUUCUUAUUUCUAUUCUUACAAUAAAAAUCUAGAAAUAUUGUUCAUCAAACAAAUGGACUACACAACAAAAAUUUCUUUUGUCGUGGUGGUUUUUUUGUUGUUUAUUUGCAUGACAUGUGUUCCUCUUUUAGGUAUGACAUCAUUCCUCUAUUUCUUGGUAUUUUAGAAAAAAUUACCAUAAAUAAUCAUAUAAUUGCAACAUCUAUUUUGAAUUUACAUGUAUACAGCUCUUGGACCGGCAUGUCUUGGACAGUGUGAUGCAAUCAACAUGGACUGCUUACAACUUUGCCAAGAAUUAGCUUUUGUUACGGGUUCAUGCAAAGGAGGGCCUCCUUCUGAGUGUUGUUGUCAUGAUUAAAUCAAUAUUGUUUUAAUAACCACUUGUAAGGAAUAUAUAUUCCAUAAUCCAUCAAAUAAUUGGUUAAUAGUUAUAAACUUGUUCCUUGG